rnacentral:rRNA from 1 species
UACGAAGGGGGCUAGCGUUGCUCGGAAUGACUGGGCGUAAAGGGCGCGUAGGCGGUUCAUACAGUCAGAUGUGAAAUUCCUGGGCUCAACCUGGGGGCUGCAUUUGAUACGUGUGGACUAGAGUGGGGAAGAGGGUCGUGGAAUUCCCAGUGUAGAGGUGAAAUUCGUAGAUAUUGGGAAGAACACCGGUGGCGAAGGCGGCGACCUGGUCCUUGACUGACGCUGAGGCGCGAAAGCGUGGGGAGCGAACAGG